AGGCGCCCGUGCCUCGCCAGUGGGCGGUUUCCCCCGGCGGCGGGAUGUUCUCUGGAAGGAGCCACGGAGUUGCGAAGAAGUCCACCCAGAAGGUGCCGGACCCCAAGAAGGACGGGCUGACGCGCCUGAAGCACCUGCGAGCGCUGCUGGGUGGUAUCCAUGAAAUCAUUGCCCAAUCCUGUUUUGUGAAGCUGACGAAGAUGAAUGCUGCGGAGCUCCGAAUUCAGAGAUGAAAUAGGAUCAUUGGUGGAGGCAGGCAGCAUCAUGAACUGGGAAGCAUAGGCCUGAUGCUGGGGUCCUGGCCAGAUGCAAUGGCGCGAUGAUAGGAAUAGGUAUGGUGGGCGAGCAGGAGCCGUGUCCUGGAAAUGGUACCCUGCCCAUUUGGGGCACUACCUGUGUGGUGAUGGGGGCAGUGAGACAUAGGACUGGACAUGUCCCUAAGCUCAGCCCCUCUUCAACGGGAGCCUUUUAUUGCACCCUGCUCCAGUCCUGUUUGAAGGGUUUCUUAAUCCGACGAGGGACAUAGACUUCUUCCACGACAAAGGAUGAUGAUAGUGGUGUGGUGACACCUGUCUCCGAGGAACUUCUCAUCCCUCUAUCGUGAGCCACUGUGACAAGUGAGCCACUGUCUGGAGUGAGUUGCCAAGAAGGUUUGAGUGACUCAAAGACACUGGGAGCAACCUCCAAGAGGGACCAGUCUGUCAUUGCCAUGCUGAGCUGAAUUCAGGUCGCAUCCAUGAAAUCAUUGCCCACUCCUGUUUUGUGAAGCUGACGAAGAUGAAUGCUGCGGAGCUCCAAAUUCAGAGAUGAAACAGGAUCAUUGGUGGAGGCAGGCAGCAGCAUGAACUGGAGAAGCACAGGCCUGAUGCUGGGUUCCUGGCCAGAUGCUAUGGCACGAGAUAGGAAUAGGUACGGUGGGCGAGCAGGAGCCAUGUACUGGAAAUGGUACCCUGCCCAUUUGGGACACCACCUGUGUGGUGAUGGGAGCAGUGAGACAUAGAACUGGACAUGUCCCCAAGCUCAUCCCUUCUUCAAAGGGAGCCUUUUAUUGCACUCUGCUCCAGUCCUGUUUGAAGGAUUUCUUAAUCCAAGGAGGGACAUAGACUUCUUCCAUGACAAAGGGUGAUGAUAGUGGUGUGGUGACACCUGUCUCCAAGGAACUUCUCAUCCCUCUAUCGUGAGCCACUGUGACAGGUGAGCCACUUUGUGGUGUCAGUAACCAAGAAGGUUCGAAUGACUCAAGGACAUUGGGAGCAAGCUCCAAGAGGGACCAAUCUGUCAUUGCCAUGCUGAACUGAAUUCAGAUAAUAUCUGAAGGAGUCAAGCUGUUUCUUCUGUAGCUUCAAGCACUUCAGACAAACUGUGCAGUAGAGCAGGUGCUUUUUGCUUGCCUUGUGCCUGGUUUCCCAGUGAUCAUGUCAUCCAGAGGGACCUGCACGGUGGAGACAUUCAUCAGUCCUAACCCUGGUGUGGUGGAUGGUACUUGAUCCUUAGGCUGACCAAAGCAGAAUUUGGCAGAGAGAAGAAUGGUUUAGAGGGAAAGGUGGCUUCAUGGGACUUUGUACCAUAUUUCCAAGCCCUGGAUGCUCACUGGCCUGGAGUGUAGUGUGAGCAGGUCCCAAAGGAGGGGCAGAUGUAUUUUAAUGGAGGCCAUUUUUUAAAAACCCUUUGAACGUUGGUGAAAGAACUCCUUUUUUCCCCACUCUGGAGUAAGGAUAUAUGCACGAGAAAUCACUCCGCUCUUGCCGGCCAUAUCAGGGGAAAGGAUCGCUGAGGGCCAAACAUGCUUUUUUCUUCAAGUACUAUUGAACUAUAUGGUUAUUCAGCUCAGUGGUGCCAAUUUGCCCUUCUCCAAAAAGUUCAAAACAGACAAUACAAGAAUAGAACAAAAUGGAUUGAAAAGAGAAAACUUUGCCACCAAGCCCUGGUAAUGUCAGGUCUACUUAACUGUGUUGUACAAAUUCAGUACAAUGGUAUUUUUAUA